UACGAAGGGGGCGAGCGUUGUUCGGAUUUACUGGGCGUAAAGGGCGCGCAGGCGGCUCGUUUUGUCAGGCGUGAAAGCCCCGGGCCUUAACCUGGGAACUGCGUUUGAUACGGACGGGCUAGAGUUCGGGGAGAGGAGGAGUGGAAUUCCCAGUGUAGAGGUGAAAUUCGUAGAUAUUGGGGAAGAACACCGGUGGCGAAGG
rnacentral:rRNA from 1 species